rnacentral:ncRNA from 2 species
UUCUUAUUAAGAGAGGCAGAGGGACUGGCCCUGUGAUGCCUCGGCAGCGGACUCGCAAUCCUUGUGAGUGCUGUGCCAAUUCCAGCAAGCCAUGCGCUUGAAAAAUGAGAA